rnacentral:lncRNA from 12 species
GUUACCGAGUAUCUAUAAUGUCAACAAAAUGUAACCAGAGUCCAUAAUAUCUUUAAAGCAUUAUAACAUGGUUAGAAUUUUAUAAAUAGUUUUCUUUAGGUCCUCUUUGAUCUAAUGAUGUAAUUAAAAUAAAAUGAAAAUCAGAAUUAUGGAACUUUAUUUUCAUGAAUAUUCUGUCUUUGUGUCAGUGUAAUUCUACGAACCAUGCAGUCUCUAGUUUAACUAAUAGUUUCAGGAAAUUAAAAUAAUUGAUGACAAAAAGUAAUUUCUCCAUAUAAUUUUCUCAUCUUUCAAAAAAAUUUCACACUAUAUAGCUACUAGAAGAUUCCCUACUUAAAUCAUACUCAUGUCUAUCAAACAAAUGAUCAACUGAUUUAAAAUUAACACAGUUGAAAGGAUGAAGCAUAGAAUAUACUGUAGUGCUCUGCUAUUAUUUAGGAGCUUAUUUUUCACUAUGAUUAAGAGGAUAUUUCUUUUACUUCUUUUUCAAUUGGAGAACAGAAGAUUUAAACCCUUUGCACCUAUGGAGGCUACAUAGGAUUUGGGUCUACAAGUGUUGUAGUGUCCUUUUUACUCUGGAGAUGGAGAUAAUUAUGCCAGUCUAAAUCUUGACCUAUCUUCACAUGCAACAUUGAAUAUUUAUUUACAUUGUACUCUGGACCAAGCUUUGAAGUUGUGGACUUUUUAGAAGGUAAAGAGAAGCUGUUGGAUCCUAUGGGCAGGGCAAUGAUACAUACAGUCAAUGAGCCAAGAGGAUAUUACAUGAUAAGAAAGGUGAAUGGUGGAAAGCCAGGGGAAGCUGUUGUUUUAUUUUGGAUUUUCUCAUAAAAGAUGAAAUGAGAGAGUUGCUUAAAAAUUUCGGGUGCCUGGAUGUCUUAACCUUCCUGGGAUCAUGGGAAGCUCUGCUUGCUACAAGCAGGUAUGUGAUUUUUUUUUUUUUUUUUUUUUUUGGCAUAAUGGACUAUCCUUGGGACAAAUGAGAAGCUUAGUAAUACAAUUUCCCAGACAUUUAUAUUUAGGGGAAUGACAUUAG